GGGGGCGUAAUGGUUUCGACGGGGAGUGUGAGCAUAGGUAAGCGAGCAGUGGCUUUGCGGAACCACUAUAAAAUCCGUAAAUCUUAAAUAAUAAACGACAACAAUUAUCCUGUUGCCCUUGCCGCUUAAUUAGGCAAGCGUCUUCUUUCGGAGUACCACGACCGGAAGAGGGCGUCGAUUAGUGGUGAACGUGAACGAAGGAGUGACCUGACUUUCGUCAUGAUCUUAGGUCUACCGAAACACAAAGCCUGUUUAUCGGCGUUGUGCCGGGGGAAUCCUAAAUGAUAAACUGCGCUCGGAGAAAACCUUUGUAAGUGCUUUUCGGACAGGAGUUCGAUUCUCCUCGCCUCCACCA
rnacentral:tmRNA from 1 species